rfam:Motiliproteus sp. MSK22-1 scaffold95_cov18844_read212, whole genome shotgun sequence.
UCCACCCGAGACUCAGUGAAAUUGAAUUUGCUGUUAAGAUGCAGUAUACCCGCGGCUAGACGGAAAGACCCCGUGAACCUUUACUACAGCUUCACAGUGAACUCUGAGCCUACUUGUGUAGGAUAGGUGGGAGGCUUUGAAACCGGGACGCCAGUUCCGAUGGAGCCACCCUUGAAAUACCACCCUGGUAUGCUUGGGGUUCUAACCCAGGUCCGUUAUCCGGAUCGGGGACAUUGUGUGGUGGGUAGUUUGACUGGGGCGGUCUCCUCCCAAAGAGUAACGGAGGAGCACGAAGGUUGGCUAAUCCUGGUCGGAAAUC